rnacentral:rRNA from 1 species
UACAGAGGGUGCGAGCGUUAAUCGGAGUUACUGGGCGUAAAGGGCGCGUAGGCGGUUAGUUAAGAUUGUUGUGAAAUCCCUGGGCUUAACCUAGGAACUGCAACGAUGACUGGCUAGCUGGAGUAUUGUAGAGGGUAGUGGAAUUUCCGGUGUAGCGGUGAAAUGCGUAGAGAUCGGAAGGAACACCAGUGGCGAAGGCGGCUACCUGGACAAAUACUGACGCUGAGGCGCGAGAGCGUGGGGAGCAAACAGG